rnacentral:rRNA from 1 species
AGAUAGCUUAACCUUCGGGAGGGCGUUUACCACGGUGUGGUUCAUGACUGGGGUGAAGUCGUAACAAGGUAGCCCUAGGGGAACCUGGGGCUGGAUCACCUCCUUACCU